rnacentral:ribozyme from 1 species
ACUCGUUUGAGCGAGUAUAAAUAGCUGCUUAGGCUCAAAGCGUAUAAAGAUUAAUUUCUUUAUCUGUGCAG